rnacentral:rRNA from 1 species
CCUACGGGAGGCAGCAGUGGGGAAUAUUGCACAAUGGGGGGAACCCUGAUCCAGCGACGCCGCGUGCGUGAAGAAGUACUUCGGUAUGUAAAGCUCUAUUAGCAGGGAAGAAAAUCACGGUACCUGACUACGAAGCCACGGCUAACUACGUGCCAGCAGCCGCGGUAAUACGUCGGGGGCAAGCGUUAUCCGGAUUUACUGGGUGUAAAGGGAGCGUAGACGGCAUGGCAAGUCUGAAGUGAAAGGCCCGGGCUCAACCAGGGAACUGCAUUGGAAACUGGCGAGCUGGAGGGUAGGAGAGGUAGGCGGAAUGCCUGGUGUAGCGGUGAAAUGCGUAGAGAUUAGGAGGAACACCGGUGGCGAAGGCAGCUUACUGGACUAUAACUGACGUUGAGGCUCGAAAGCGUGGGGAGCAAACAGGAUUAGAUACCCUUGUAGUC